rnacentral:sRNA from 1 species
UUUUUGUUUUAAAUAGUUGCUGAAUACUGUGUGCGUGACAUAUGAGAUUGGAAUAUUUUUAGUUUGUUAAUCAAUUUAUUGUUCGAAAAAAAUCAAUAAUUAAAAGCCAAAAAUGGCUGCAAAAAUGUAUAUAUAGAUUCCAAGUAGUAAGCCCAUGAGAAAAGACUACUCUGCUUCUGAAUAUGCUGGAUUGGAUUU